GUUAUGGCUCAAAGGUAGAGCACUCGCCUAGCACGUGCAAAGCCCUGGGUUCGAUCCUCAGCAUCACA
rnacentral:tRNA from 1 species